CGGCCACGAGAACAAUCUAGGUCCCUUCGAAAUCUCGCCUCGCCUCGCCUCCCCUCCCCUCCCCUCCUCCGCCGCCUUUCUACCCCACUUUCCAGGCGCCGGCUUGUCAGAUCCGGGCGCCAGCUUCAGGUAUUCAUCCGAACCUCUCCCAGCCUAACCUUUCGUCUGUAUGCGAUCUGCGCCCGUGGCUCACAGCUCCUACCACAGGGAAACGCUUGUAGGAUUAGUUCUCGUACCGACGACGGCCCUAGAUGUGAAAUUUGUACGGGUGGCACACAAAAUUACAUUAGAUUUUGGUGCUGCAGGUAUGAGCUUUCGAUUCUUGUCCUUCUCGCCAAACCAUUAGGGUGCGUUUGGUUGUGUUGCCCAGCUUGCCUAUAGCUGAGCUAGCUUAGCUCGGCUGGGCUAUCUUUGCCUUAGCUGCCCGUUUGGUUCAGUGCCGUUGCUGGCAAGAGCCAGCAGCUAGCCGUUUGCCUGUGUCGAGGGCAAGCUAGCUCGUCUUGAUAGGAUCCAAAUAUCCCAAAAUUCUUGUCCUAGAUUUGUUAAAUACGGAUGUAUCAAGUCACAUUUUAGUAUUAGAUACGUCCGUAUCUAGACAAAUUUAAGACAAGAAUUUUGGGACGGAGGGAGUAGCUUAUAACAAGUGCAUCAUCACUACAAUACCUUGAAAAAACAGUGAAACAGAGAAAUAGCUAUAAGCAGAUCAAGUUGUAAAUAGUCAUGCAAAAAUUCAGCGCAGCUUUAUGAUGAUUAAUUUAACACACUGACUGAUAAAGAAUCUGAGUAAAAAGCUUAUUGUUCAGGAAUGAAUAACUCUGUGACAUCGUUACAUGCCUGCAUGAGGAGGCACGGUCAUUAUCUCCCUAGGAGACGAUGCCGGAAGACAUACAAAAUAAUCCUGAAAGUUCGCAGUGAAAUGAAUCACACAGCAGGAGCAACGGGAACGUAUUCAGGAAAGCUAGUUAUCACCGAUCCAGCACCCAAACUCUUGAAUAGCAGCCAUCGGUCUCCCCUUCAACAUGGAAGCCACUUGUUCAUUGGUGGCCACAGAUGUCUGUAGCACAAGUCGGAUGAAGAGAGGGUAUUCUUCAAUGUCAUCAAUUAUUUUGAAUAAAUUCUCAUUCGGGUUGGUACGUGUGUGGAACGCAUAGUAUCCGACAUAUCACGCAGAGACCGCGUCAUGUCUUGAGCUGCGCUCUCAUCACACUUCACCCACUUACCUUUAUCACGUUUGCCACCUCUAGGACGCUUCGAAGACGAGCAUUCAUUAGUGGUGUCGUCAAGAACACAAUCUGAAUCAUAAUGUGUUGCAGGAUCAACCUUAACAUCACUCAUAUUUUCUUCUCGGUAUCACCAAUAAAAUCCUUGUCACGGGCAUGAACACGGUCAUAGGGUGUUUGAAGGACCGUGAACUCUCCGGUAGCAUGCUUAUCCUGAAAUAUGAACUCCAUCUAAUCAAAGUUGGCAAUAGGCACAUUGAUAUAUUUCCCCCUUUUGUCUUUGUUCUGGAAGAGAGAAGUAGCAUGAAAAUGUUAGUUAGUUACAAAAGAUAAAAUAUGAUACUAGAUGGAAAUAUAAUUUGACAAAAUUUAUAUGUAGCACUCACAUUCUUCAAUCAAACACACCCUUGAUCUUCGGUUUUGCUAGAGCACGUCUAGAUGUGCCCUAAGUAUUGCACAUCAAAGUGUAAGUCCUAUGUCAUUGAUUUUACUCGGAGAUUCAUGCAGGUAUUUUCCUUUUUCUUUUGCUUUUCCUUUUUAUGUUGAUUGAGUCACUUAGAUUUGCAGUAACUAGACAGACCCUUUGAUCUUUCUAUUUAGAGUAAUCCUGAUAUUUUAGUUUUCGACAAGUGUUAAUGCUACUGUACUAACUUUUUCCUUUUGAUAGCCACGAUAUUCAACUACUGGGUGUGUUAAAUUCUCGAGGAUGAUGAAUCGUCAGUUUGCGAAUAUGAUAGUACACAAUUACCCCAAGGGAGUUUAUUCCCUGCGCCGUAUCAACCUCAUGGAGCAUCUCUUCUACCCUUCAACAGAAGCUGCCCAAAAAGCAGAAGCCAAUAAGAAGGGAUGGUUAUCCACCAUGUUGAAAGGGAGCCCCAAGCAGCGUCUGCCCAAGACGAACAUCAACUUCUCAUCACUGCCUAACAUGGCCGACUUAACGGCCAGACAUUUCUUCUCCCUGCUGAAAGGGCAGGGGGAGGGCUCUGUCAUGUUCGUCAGCCCUAACGUCCACACGAUGAUGUACGACACUAGCACGGACUUUGUCUUUGGCAUGCCCCAAGCCAACUUCUGUAAGCAGAGCGACUCAAUCUCCCUGUCCAUCACUCGGCGGGGCUAUGGCCAAGAAUACCACGAGCUGUAUGUCAUAGGCAAAGGAGAGGACGGUGGCUUGUUUGAGGUCUUGAAAUAUACCAGGACAACUGAUCUGAGCAAACCGCCUUGGUACUGGCGACCUCUGCCCUGCCCGCCAUUGUUUCCGCAGUGCCUGCCUGGCGGCAACAGCAAAGUUUGUGCUCCCUCUGCAGCGGUCGUGUUGGAUGCCACCACAAUAUGUGCCUCAUCCGUGGAUGCCGGAGCCUGCGCCUUCUUUGACACGGUAACCCGCGAGUGGAGACAGGCUGGCAGCUGGGUGCUGCCCGUCCAUGGUGCGGCAGAGUAUGUCCCUGAGUUUGGCCUCUGGUUUGGCCUCGACGAUGCCAUUGGCAACCCCAACCAUUGCCUGCGUGCUUUUGACUUCGAUUCCUCCAGGCAACCGGUGGUGCGGCACUCCUGGAGCUAUCUCAGCCGCCUGCCGGAUGAGUGCUUGCCACGGCAGAGGCACCUGCUAAACAUGGGCUCAGGUAAGUUCUGCAUCGCCACCAGCUUUCGGAAUCUCUUGAGGCACACCUCGUGCGCACCACUUGAUGGUGCGGUCGAUGAGCUUACCAUCUUGACCGGUGUGGAGGUGGUGCGCGAUGUCAAUGGUUUCCAGAUCAUCAAGCACAAGUCUGAAUGUUACAGUUUGGAGGACAAUAGAAUCCAAUGCGUGCUCUGAGGAAAACUUAUCUAUGUGUCACUGUUAUUGGAUUGAUCCUUCCAUGGUUUUUCUCAUCAGAUGUGAAUGAAUAUAUUUGCUUAGCUUUUAUCUCCAUGGUUGAAAUAGUCAAAUAGGCAAUUGAUGGCUGCAAGAAGAAAUGAAAGCAUCAUGGUGCAUCUUUCUUUAUGGAAUAUUGUUUUUGGUAAAAAAUUAUAAAUUAAAAUUAUUGGUCAUGCUAUCUGCUUAAAUUCUAGCAUAUAUUUUUAGUUUUUUUACCUCUGCGCUUGAGUCAACUAGUAAAACUUCAUCUUGAGGAUUUCUCCGUCCUUUCUCCUACCUUUAUCUCGAGUGUAGAAUGCGCGCCCGCCUUGGCCCCAGCAGACCACACCCGCGAUUCUUUGUGGCAGUGAACUGUUUGGGUAUGCUCCCUGCUUCGAAGAGUAUUCCCACCAUGUGAUUUUGUGACUUAAACUAGUUUAUAUAUUAUUAAUUAACUAUUUAUGCUCAAAGUUUGACACUAUAGUACAGGCCACAGGCGGCUCAAUAAACCAGGACCGAGUGAGUAUUAAUUAUCCUGCUUUGAUGCGCUUGUUUUUUGGUGAGUUUAUUUCACUGGUUCUUCUUUUCAUCGUGUUAUGAGGCCGCCGCUAUGAAUCCGUCUGGUGGUAACUUUGGUCCUUGACUCUGAUCGUUCUUGUUUAGCAUUUUGUAGUAUCUAUACACUGUUCAGCGUGCAUGUAGCGGAAUUUUAUAGAACUGUUUUUUGUUCAUUGCCUGUUUUAGCUAAUUAAUACCCUCUACUAUACGUGUAUGGGCUGUUGGUUCUGGAGCGAUAAUACAGUGUUCACAUAAUUUAUAUGCCCAGAGUGAUAAUUUACAGGAAUCCCAGGACACUAUAGUCUUCAUUCUGCAGACAAUUUACAUUCUCAGGGCCUCUUGCUGAGUGCAAUAUCAUACAAGACACCUAUAUGAUUUGGAAUGAGCCUAGUCUUCCUCAAUAAAAAGAUAUAAGUAGAAGGACGGCAUACGUGAAACAGAGACAAGUGUGAUAGAUCAAUGAAAUAGUCAAGGACCUCCAGAAACAAAAUAUCAGUCUACUUAACAAGUGGUGGUGGAAACUUGAUACUCAAGAUGGUUUUUGGCAAGAUAUAGUUAAAGCGAAAUGUCUUCAGAGAGAUUCUGUGGCCACGGUCAAAAGCAGAUUCUCUGAUUCCCCUAUUUGGAAGGCUAUUAUGAAAGUAAAAGAGUGCUAUAUGGCUGGUAGGGAUGUGCUUCUUGGUUCUGGUAAUAUUGCUAGACUGCAGAUGUGCUCUUUUAUUGUUGGGCUGGAUAUUACCUCUGAUCCUGAUAAGAUUGUUUAGGCUUUGGGCCCCAAGCAGACUUUUACUACUAAGUUGAUGUAUGAACACAUAGAGAGAAAUAUCACGGGUUGUGGUUUUAAGUGGAUUUGGAAAGCUAAAAUUCCUUCUAAAAUCCAUAUCUUCCUUUGGCAACUUUUUCAAUAUGCCGUGUUGACCAGGGAUGCUAUGAGCAGGAGAAAUUGGACGGGGAAUCCGCGCUGCUCUUUUUGCAGCAAGAGAGAGAUGUCCCAGCAUCUCUUCUUCUUAUGCCCAUUGGCUUGGGUGGUUUGGAGAACUGUGAGAUUAGUCUUUGGCACCGAGUUGUGCCCUAACAACAUUUGGCAGUUUUAUUUGUGGUACUAUACAAUGCAACGGCUCUCUCGCGACCCCGACCCCGCGCCCCUCAACCAGCCCCCACCGGCGGCGGCCACCCCGGCCCCGCCGGCCACCCUACCGGCGCCUCGCGUGCUCCCGCGCUCGCGGCCGCUACCCCCAGCCUGUAGGAUGCGGCAGGAGAACGGUGGCCGGCGGAGUGCGCAGGUCUCCCGCUCGUGCUCCUCGAAGGCUGCAGCGACGAGCUUCCCAGCUCCGUCACCCGCCACCUUGGCCGGCGCCUCCUCCAGCCAGCUGCCGGAGCCACCGGCGUCGAUCCCCAUCACCCCUCCCCCGCUCGAUCCAGAUCAGGCGGAUCUGGAUCCCGUCUCUCGGUUGCCUCCGGCUGUCCGGAGCGAUGCUCCUGACGAUGUGAUGGGGGUGCUGCUCAGGGCUAGGCCUGGCUCCCGGUGCUCCACCGUCGAUGGCGAGGGGAGUGUGGAGCUGGCCCAUCUGCCGCCGACCAUCGUUCCCUGCACCAUGAAGCGCUUGCCAUGUUGCUCUCUUCUCAAGGAUGUGGGCAAACUUCCUCCCGAUCUGGUGAUGUCGGUAGUGCCACCGCCGCCCCUCUGGAGCUCCGCUGGCAAGGAGGAGGACGACAAUGACGACGGAGAGGAGGAGCUUGCUCCACGGUCGCCGCCGGCUGCCUCCCAGUAUUCCCUGUGCUCUGUUGACGCCAAUGUUGCUCAUGCGGGGCCGUGGGCAUCUCUGGUCGAUGCAGAUGGCCAGGGUUCAGGCGAGGAUCGUGACAACGGCGAUUCUGGCAAAGGGGACCUGGCGCACCGAAGAUGGCAACGUCUGUUGUCGAAGGCUCAUGCUCUGGUGCGGUUGGUGCGUCGACUGCUUGCUGCUAUCCUUGUGAUCAGGCGGAAGUUGUGGUCGCACAACCUGGGGAUGGUCCCUGGAUUUACGUCGGACGAAGGCGUCGUCCCCGUCAUGUGCCUUGCAGCAAGUCUUCCACGUCCCCGACCUUUCAUGAUGCGAGGUCUGUGCAAGCCGACACAUUCAAGAGGAGAACCCGUGGUCAAUGUUUCCGUUGCUUGGCUCUGGACCACAAGGUUGCGUCCUGCCGCGACCCGUUUCGAUGCCUCACUUGCCUUCGCUCUGGACACCGUGAGAGGGACUGUUCUCUGCGUCACUCCUCCGUCGAAGCUGUUCGCCACUGUGUGCGUGACCCCCCAGCUCCGCCUCGCCCUUCCUCAGAUGGGCGCUCUUGGGCUUCGGUUGUUGCUCCCGCAAUGUGUGUGCAAGCUCCUGAGUCUGCAAGGAUUAUUGAAGCUCCAAGCGAAGGUUCUGUUGAUCAGGGUGUUGCGACAUCUGAUGAUGCUAUGCUUGUCUCAUUUCGUGCGGAGCUGCAAAGCUUGGUUGAGUUUGCGCUCCGCCCGCUGCGCAAGCUGGAGGACUCUUUGUGCCUGUGGUUGGCACGUGUGUCCGACCUCUUGGAGCAGGCGGAGGUGUCUGAUGGUGAGCGUGGGUUGAGCCCAGCCUCCUUGCAGGGACCUUGCUCCUUAGGCACUGCCGUUCAUGGUUUGACGCUACCAAAAGAUGGGAGCAAAGGUGUUGAUGACAUUGGCGACAAGGUUGGGUUGGCGCCCUCAGGGUAUGUUGCUGCCGUGGAGUCUGCAGGGCAGCAUGCGUCGGUCAAGUCUAUGGCCUUGUUUGACAAGGUGGCCACCGAGCUUAGCCUUCCUACUUCUGCCUCCAAUGAGGUGUGGGGCGUUGCAAAGGGAUGCGCAUCGGCAUUUGAGGGCCAAAACACUUUACACGUCUUCAUCGAGCUGGUCAAAAGCCUUUCUGCCGUGCCUGCGAUCACCCAAGGGUUGAUUCACCUUGUCAAUGCAGUGAAGAUCAAGAAUGUCAACCAACUGGCAGGCGUCGCCUCGGGCGUGGGGACCGCAUGUCAUGAUGUUAGCCAUUAGUAUGUGCCUUCCUCUCAUGUGCUUAUUAUUCUGGGAGUAGUCCGCAUGUUGUUUCGCGGGAUGGCUUUUGUAGCGCGCCAUCUGCGGGGUCCUUGUUGGCUUGUCGGGUCUGUGUGUGGGUUUGACCCUUGAUGUACCGGUUUUCACACGGUUUUCCUGUAAUUAACCGGGCAACUAUCUUCUUCUCUAUUAAUGAAAAAGGCAAAGCUUUUGCCUCUGUUUCAAAAAAAAAAAAUCGUGGUACUACAGUUUUUACCUGAUGGGAGUGAAUUCUAUAGUUUACCGAAAAAGGCUUUCGCCCCGCUUUAUAAAUAAAGCAAACCGCCAGAAGACAUACAACCACAACAGGUCCACACACACACACCACCCAAGUACCACAACAAAGUAUAAAGGUUCUGCUGAGGGCACAGCUCAACAAGCCCAGAAGAAAGAGAAAAAACAAAGCCUGUCCAGCGCAGGCGAUCUAGUCAGGCUUCGGCGGAGGCGGCGGGGGCGGUGGCGAUAGGCGGACGGCCAUCGAGCGGAGAUCGGCGAUGAAGGCUGAGAUGGCGUCCCGAUCCAGGGGGCGGCUAAGCGGCCGCCAAAGCUGCAAGAAACCCGAGAAUUUGUAGAGAGCAUCAGUAGCGCGACAAAGAGGAGAACGCUGGAUCACAAGCUUAUUGCGAACGGUCCAAAGCGUCCAGGCAAGGACUCCAACCUCCAGCCACCUAAUGUGACGAGAGGACGAAGGGGACAGUUGAAGUUCAGCAAAUAAGUCCGAAAAAUUCUACAGUUUUGGUCUCGCAGCUAUAUGCUGGGCCAUUUGGAACUGUCGCAAUGAAGCAACCUUUGAGUUUAAAUUUCCUAAAAUCCCUUUUUGGCGGUGUUCUCUUCAUGUGUAUUUCUGGAUUAUGGGGCAGGUUUGCUGAAGAGUGAUGACGAGGAGGCAAUGUGGCGUGGGGCAAUGAUGCUCAGGGAGAAUGCGAAGAACAUGAUGUGUAUCUGUGCUGCUGCUCAAGAUGAUGGUGCGAUGGACUGAAGCUUGCACUGAUGUAUUUCCGUUAUUCAUUAAUGAAAAGGGGCGAUGUGUGGUUAAAAAAAAGUAUUAACAUUGCUGAUGUAAGGAUGGUCGGCACAUCUGCGGGUGAAACGUGACUAAUAUAUAUCCUGUGUGUUUGAGCUGAGAACUCACCUUGCUCCCAUAUUGGUAUUUGGUAGAGGUGACUGUUGUAUUUAUGGGGCUUGGCAGAUAGGAUUAAAAUUACAUGUGUGUAACGGUAGGCACAGGAAUUGCGAUUGCUUGGAAAAUAGUGAUCGAUUUUGAUUAGCAGACUUGCGGGACAUGAAACGGCGUAGUUCGUAACCUGGGGGAAAUUAGGAACCCUAGAUAUGAAAUGUCGAUCCUGGAAGUGAUUCAAGGGACAUUGCUUCAGAGUUCAGAUUGUCUGUCGAGGUGAA
rnacentral:lncRNA from 1 species